GACGAACGCUGGCGGCGUGCUUAACACAUGCAAGUCGAACGCGUGGCGAACGGGUGCGUAAUACGUGGGUAACCUGCCCUCUUUUUGGGAUAAGCCUUGGAAACGGGGUCUAAUACCGAAUAAAGGGGGAUGGGCUCGCGGCCUAUCAGCUUGUUGGGGGGGUGAUGGCAUAACAAGGCGGUGACGGGUAGCCGGCCUGAGGGGGUGAUGGGACACAUUGGGACUGGGGUACGGCCCAGCCGCCUACGGUAGGCAGCAGUGGGGGAUGUUGCACAGUGGGCGACAGCCUGAUGCAGCGACGGAGCGUGGGGGAUGAAGGCUUUCGGGUUGUAAACCUAUUUCGCUAUCGAAAGGGUAGGUGGAGAAGAAGCGCCGGCUAACUACGUGCCAGCAGCCGCGGUAAUUC
rnacentral:rRNA from 1 species